rnacentral:misc_RNA from 1 species
GAAAUGCGAUAACUAAUGUGAAUUGCAGAAUUCAGUGAAUCAUCGAGUCUUUGAACGCACAUUGCGCCCCCUGGUAUUCCGGGGGGCAUGCCUGUCCGAGCGUCAUUGCUGCCCUCAAGCCCGGCUUGUGUGUUGGGUCGCCGUCCCCCUCUCCGGGGGGACGGGCCCGAAAGGCAGCGGCGGCACCGCGUCCGAUCCUCGAGCGUAUGGGGCUUUGUCACAUGCUCUGUAGGAUUGGCCGGCGCCUGCCGACGUUUUGCAACCAUUUUUUCCAGGUUGACCUCGGAUCAGGUAGGGAUACCCGCUGAACUUAAGC